UGCAUAUGAUUGGGAAAGUCAUUGACUAC
rnacentral:piRNA from 1 species